rnacentral:telomerase_RNA from 1 species
UAGUUCAAUUAAAACUGCGUUUCCUGCCCACUGUGAGGACACUUACGUGUCGUGGUGUAGGAUCAACAAAACUAACAAAACUAAAUUGCGGAAUUAAUUUCCGCCCAUUAAAGAUGUUUACCUGUGUCAUCUUAAACAAACAGGUAGCUCGCAGUUUUAAUUAUUUUUUUU